UACGGAGGAUCCGAGCGUUAUCCGGAAUUAUUGGGUUUAAAGGGUUCGUAGGCGGUUGGAUAAGUCAGUGGUGAAAUCUCAUAGCUUAACUAUGAAACUGCCGUUGAUACUGUCUGACUUGAAUAGUAUGGAAGUAACUAGAAUAUGUAGUGUAGCGGUGAAAUGCUUAGAUAUUACAUGGAAUACCAAUUGCGAAGGCAGGUUACUACGUACUUAUUGACGCUGAUGAACGAAAGCGUGGGUAGCGAACAGG
rnacentral:rRNA from 1 species